rnacentral:tRNA from 2 species
AUUUUUAUAGUGUAAAUUAACACAUUGCAUUUUCAUUGCAAAACUGAAAUUUUAAUUUCUAAAAAUU